AUAUAACGAAAUGUUGGUCAUCCG
rnacentral:siRNA from 1 species